GUGCUCACUUUGGCAGCACAUAUACUAAAAUUGGAAUGAUACAGAGAUUAGCAUGGCCCCUGUGCAAGGAUGACAUGCAAAUUCAUGAGGUGUUCCAUAAUUUU
ensembl:snRNA U6 U6 spliceosomal RNA